GGAGGACAGGCUGGCAGAGGAGGGAGGAGGGUUUCUAGCUGAGAGAGACUGCGGCUGUGGGCCUGCAGCCUACCCCUCUUCAAGCUCUCCGGAGCCGUUCCUGCGAAACCAGCCCCCACAAAUAAGGAAGCUGGGAUUCAGAGAAAUUAAGGGACUUGGUGAAGCAGAGAAUGCCAAGGGAAUUGAUUCAGUAGUGGACGGGGAGUCCCUGAAGACUGUUGAGCAGUGAAGAGACCUGAUCGCAUACUAAAAAAGUACAUGCAAUGGCAAGAAGAUCAACUAAGAGAUUCUUCUUAUGUUGCUAUUUUAAACUCCUGAACUCAAGUGAUCCUCCUGCCUUGGCCUCCCAAAGUGCUGGGAUUACAGGUGUGAGACACUGCACCCUGCCCAAGCACCUCUGCUCCGUGCCAUGCUCUUGGCUAAUUGGAGUUGUGAAAGGCAUGAGGAUUCUGGUCAUGGACUCAGCUCUCCCAUAGGGUUCUGACACCAAAGCAAUGGUCACAACAGUGAAAGGAAGAAUCCAUCUGGCCAGGCUCAGGUGGUUCAAGGCCUUCAGAAUCUGCCUUGAGACUCUCACUGGCUUUAGACUGAAAACCAUCUUGGCCCCGUCCAUCCGUGUAAGCAAUUUAACGACAGCUUGCAAAGCACCGAGCUUUAACAGAAAGAAGAGAUGAGCACAGCGCAAGAACUUGGACUCCAGAAGAGCUGCCUAACAGAUUAUUUUUCUGUGGCAUUUCAUGAGAACAAACGAAGUAGGAAUUUUCCUUUUGUUUGUCUGGCCUUUGGCAUCGUUUACUUUCUUUUUAUUCUUCUGAAAUGUACUUCGAGCCCUGGCAGCAUUUCUGUCCUAAAAUCUUAUUGUCAGAGGUUUAUUUUUCAGCUUUUCAAAUCAUAUCUGAUAGAGUGAGUGUACUGCCUGGACUCAUCACUUUACUUCAGAAGAAAUACAGCUCACCCUUUAAAUGACAAUGGUGACUGUCCACAUCUUUAUGUUUUCUACACUGAAGUGGCAGGCUUCAUUUAAAAAUAAUGUUUUCCCUCAUCAAAAGAGAGCUAGGGUAGAACCGUCAACUCUGCUGUUGUCUGGGUAGUGACCUAACACCCACGUUUUGGACAAUCACUCACUGUCUUAUAUUGGGUUUUCAUUGCAUGUAGGAUAAUUCUUUGUCAAUGGUAGUUUUGUCAACCGUGAUCUGAGGUAAUGAGGUUUUCUACUUUUGCUUGAAAUUUUGAAAAUAUGCAAGCUUUAAACAUUUGCAAA
ensembl:lncRNA PIRAT1 PU.1 (SPI1) induced regulator of S100A8 and S100A9 alarmin transcription 1